CUAGCGACUUCAGAGUUUGAUCCUGGCUCAGGAUGAACGCUGGCGGCGUGCUUAACACAUGCAAGUCGAACGAAGCGAUUUUAUUGAAGUUUUCGGAUGGAUUUAAAAUUGACUUAGUGGCGGACGGGUGAGUAACGCGUGGGUAACCUGCCUCGUACAGGGGGAUAACAGUUAGAAAUGACUGCUAAUACCGCAUAACCCGCUAAGGUCGCAUGACCUGGACGGAAAAGAUUUAUCGGUACGAGAUGGACCCGCGUCUGAUUAGCUAGUUGGUGAGGUAACGGCUCACCAAGGCGACGAUCAGUAGCCGGCCUGAGAGGGUGACCGGCCACAUUGGGACUGAGACACGGCCCAA
rnacentral:rRNA from 1 species